GAGAGACCCGCGAACGCGUUUUACCACCCGGGGUGGUCGGAGCUGCUCGGCAGCCCGCCCUCCCCAGUGCCGGGACCGAGUCACGCUCUGCGGCCCCGUCCCGGCGCGAUAACAACAAACCCCGGCGCGGAAUGCGCCAAGGAAGCAACAACUGUACUGCGCGCCCCGUCGGCCCGGGAACGGUGCCCGUACGGGCGGUGCCGCGACACUGGAGUCCUAAACGACUCCCGGCAACGGAUAUCUCGGCUCUUGGAUCGAUGAAGAACGUAGCGAAAUGCGAUACUUGGUGUGAAUUGCAUAAUCCCGUGAACCAUCAAGUCUUUGAACAAAAGUUGCGCCCGAAGCCAUUAGGCUAAGGGCACGCCUGCCUGGGUGUCACCAAUCGCUGCCCCAAUCCCUGUGCCUCCGGCCACGGGGAGGGGCGAAUGCUGGCCUCCCGUGAGCACCGCCUUGCGGCUGGUCGAAAAUCGGGUUCGUGGUGGAUGCGGCAGCACCAUGACAGACGGUGGCUGAGUAAGUUCUCGAGGGCAGUCAUGCGUGUGAGCUCCACCGGCUCCGUACCCAGUGACCCGUGAGCGAGAUCGAUCGCCCAUGACGCGACCUCAGCUCGGGCGGGGC
rnacentral:rRNA from 1 species